AUUGAACGCUGGCGGCAUGCUUUACACAUGCAAGUCGAACGGCAACAGGGAGCUUGCUCCGCUGACGAGUGGCGAACGGGUGAGUAAUGCGUCGGAACGUGCCGAGUAGUGGGGGAUAACGCAUCGAAAGGUGUGCUAAUACCGCAUACGUACUGAGGUAGAAAGUGGGGGACCUUCGGGCCUCACGCUAUUCGAGCGGCCGACGUCUGAUUAGCUAGUUGGUGAGGUAAAGGCUCACCAAGGCGACGAUCAGUAGCGGGUCUGAGAGGAUGAUCCGCCACACUGGGACUGGGAACCGGCCCGGGCUCGUGCGGGAGGCAGCAGUGGGGAGUUUUGGACAAUGGGCGCAAGCCUGAACCAGCCAUGCCGCGUGUCUGAAGAAGGCCUUCGGGUUGUAAAGGACUUUUGUCCGGGAGCAAAUGCUGGUGGCUAACAUCCACCGGAGCUGAGAGUACCGGAAGAAUAAGCACCGGCUAACUACGUGCCAGCAGCCGCCGUAACAC
rnacentral:rRNA from 1 species